rnacentral:rRNA from 1 species
GAUGAACGCUGGCGGCGUGCUAAACACAUGCAAGUCGAACGGUGAAGCAGGAGCUUGCUCCUGUGGAUCAGUGGCGAACGGGUGAGUAACACGUGAGUAACCUGCCCCAGACUCUGGGAUAAGCGUUGGAAACGACGUCUAAUACCGGAUACGAGACGAGAAGGCAUCUUCAUCGUCUGGAAAGAAUUUCGGUCUGGGAUGGACUCGCGGCCUAUCAGGUAGUUGGUGAGGUAACGGCCCACCAAGCCUACGACGGGUAGCCGGCCUGAGAGGGUGACCGGCCACACUGGGACUGAGACACGGCCCAGACUCCUACGGGAGGCAGCAGUGGGGAAUAUUGCACAAUGGGCGCAAGCCUGAUGCAGCAACGCCGCGUGAGGGACGACGGCCUUCGGGUUGUAAACCUCUUUUAGCAGGGAAGAAGCGAAAGUGACGGUACCUGCAGAAAAAGCACCGGCUAACUACGUGCCAGCCGCCGCAGUAAAAC